rnacentral:rRNA from 1 species
UGGGGAAUUUUGGACAAUGGACGCAAGUCUGAUCCAGCCAUGCCGCGUGCGGGAAGAAGGCCUUCGGGUUGUAAACCGCUUUUGUCAGGGAAGAAACGAGUUUCUCUAAUACAGAGACUUAAUGACGGUACCGUAAGAAUAAGCACCGGCUAACUACGUGCCAGCAGCCGCGGUAAUACGUAGGGUGCGAGCGUUAAUCGGAAUUACUGGGCGUAAAGCGUGCGCAGGCGGUUAUAUAAGACAGAUGUGAAAUCCCCGGGCUCAAUCUGGGAACUGCCUUUGUGACUGCAUAGCUAGAGUACGGUAGAGGGGGAUGGAAUUCCGCGUGUAGCAGUGAAAUGCGUAGAUAUGCGGAGGAACACCGAUGGCGAAGGCAAUCCCCUGGACCUGUACUGACGCUCAUGCACGAAAGCGUGGGGAGCAAACA